UGAGCUCUGUAGUGCUUCUAGCUGA
rnacentral:piRNA from 1 species